rnacentral:rRNA from 1 species
UAGGGAAUCUUCCACAAUGGACGCAAGUCUGAUGGAGCAACGCCGCGUGAGUGAAGAAGGUCUUCGGAUCGUAAAGCUCUGUUGUUGGUGAAGAAGGAUAGAGGCAGUAACUGGUCUUUAUUUGACGGUAAUCAACCAGAAAGUCACGGCUAACUACGUGCCAGCAGCCGCGGUAAUACGUAGGUGGCAAGCGUUGUCCGGAUUUAUUGGGCGUAAAGCGAGCGCAGGCGGAAUGAUAAGUCUGAUGUGAAAGCCCACGGCUCAACCGUGGAACUGCAUCGGAAACUGUCAUUCUUGAGUGCAGAAGAGGAGAGUGGAACUCCAUGUGUAGCGGUGGAAUGCGUAGAUAUAUGGAAGAACACCAGUGGCGAAGGCGGCUCUCUGGUCUGCAACUGACGCUGAGGCUCGAAAGCAUGGGUAGCGAACAGGAUUAGAUACCCUGGUAGUCCAUGCCGUAAACGAUGAGCGCUAGGUGUUGAGGACUUUCCGGUCCUCAGUGCCGCAGCAAACGCAUUAAGCGCUCCGCCUGGGGAGUACGACCGCAAGGUUGAAAC